GCGUUUGACAGAUAAAAUUCUAUAAAUCAUUUCAAAGCAAUUUCGCUCGGCCUAGAAUUUCAUGUUGUGGCCCAAUUCGUCGUCCAUCUGUUCAAGAAAUUUGUGGAACCUGCCUCGUCAAUCAGAUCCAUUUCCAUUCUGAUGAAGAAACAUUGUUCGGUAGCCGAAUAAUCUGUUUAUCAAGCAUCAGAGAUCGUUGCUACUUUCGGAAAUCGACUUUUUCUUUAAUUACAUUGAUUAUCUGCUCGAUUGUCAAGUCUCUUGUGUUUCCAAUUCUUGUUUACUUCAAGAUGAUGGUCGAGGAUCUCGGUAUCGAAGCAAAGGAAGCAGCCGUACGCGAGGUUGCCAAGCUUCUGCCGCUUCCGGAGCUUCUGCAGUCAAUUAGUUCGAUCAAGGCCGAUUACAUUACUCGUCAGCAGGCUAAUGAUGCACAACUCAGUACAAUGGUUGCGGAGCAGGUUGAACAAGCACAAGCUGGACUGGAGUCGCUUUCUUUAUCUGAAAAGUCAAUAAACCAGCUUCGAGAAAACUUUAUUUCAAUUGAGAAGUUAUGUCAAGAAUGCCAAACAUUAAUAGAGAACCAUGAUCAGAUAAAGCUCCUUAGCAAUGCAAGGAAUAACUUGUUAACAACCUUGAAGGAUGUUGAGGGCAUGAUGUCCAUAUCUGUUGAAGCGUCUGAGGCCCGAGAUUCUUUGAGUGAUGCAAAAGAGCUUAUAAACACUUACGAGAGGCUAACUGCACUUGAUGGAAAACGGAGGUUUGCUUUGGCAGCUGCAGCAUCUCACAAAGAAGAGGUUGGGAGACUAAGAGAAUAUUUUGAAGAUGUAGAUCGAACGUGGGAAACAUUUGAGAAGACCUUAUGGGAACAUGUGUCCAACUUUUAUAAACUUUCUAAAGAGAGUCCACAAACAUUGGUUCGUGCUAUAAGAGUCGUUGAAAUGCAAGAAAUUCUUGAUCAACAACUUGCUGAGGAAGCAGCUGAGGCUGAGGGAGGUGGCGCAAUGGCAACUGUAGCAAACCCUCGCAGAACCACAAAAAAAACCACCACAGCAACAGCUUCUUCUAGAAACCUUACACAGCAAAAAUUGAAGGCUCAGGGGAAACAAUACAAAGACAAAUGCUAUGAGCAAAUAAGGAAGACUGUUGAAGGAAGGUUUAGUAAACUUUUGACGGAGCUUGUUUUUGAGGACCUGAAGGCAGCUUUAGAGGAAGCUCGAACGAUUGGAGAAGAGCUUGGUGAUGUCUACGACUACGUGGCUCCUUGUUUCCCUCCAAGAUAUGAGAUAUUCCAACUCAUGGUCAAUCUGUACACUGAAAGGUUCAUUCAGAUGCUCAGAUUACUCAGUGACAGGGCAAAUGAAUUGACCAAUAUAGAAAUUUUAAAGGUUACUGGUUGGGUUGUAGAGUAUCAAGAUAACCUGAUUGGACUAGGUGUUGAUGAGUCCCUGGCCCAAGUAUGUUCUGAGAGUGGUGCUAUGGAUCCCCUGAUGAAUUCUUAUGUUGAAAGAAUGCAAGCUACUACAAGGAAAUGGUACUUGAAUAUCUUGGAGGCUGAUAAGGUUCAACCACCCAAAAAAACUGAAGAUGGCAAGCUGUAUACACCUGCAGCUGUUGAUUUGUUUAGGAUCCUAGGUGAGCAAGUACAAAUUGUUCGUGAUAAUAGCACGGAUGUCAUGCUUUACAGAAUUUCCUUGGCUAUUAUUCAGGUAAUGAUUGAUUUUCAAGCAGCUGAGAGGAAGAGACUUGAAGAACCUGCUUCUGAAAUUGGUUUAGAACCUUUGUGUGCAAUGAUUAACAACAACUUGCGUUGCUAUGAUCUUGCUAUGGAGUUAAGUAAUAGCACGAUAGAGGCGCUCCCUCAGAAUUAUGCUGAACAGAUAAAUUUUGAAGACACUUGCAAAGGCUUCCUAGAAGUUGCCAAGGAAGCUGUGCAUCUAACGGUCAGUGUCAUUUUUGAGGAUCCUGGAGUGCAAGAGCUACUUGUCAAGCUUUAUCAAAAGGAAUGGUCCGAAGGGCUCGUUACAGAAUACCUAGUCGCAACGUUUGGAGACUAUUUUACAGAUGUGAAGAUGUACAUCGAAGAAAGAUCGUUCAGAAGAUUUGUCGAGGCUUGCCUAGAGGAAACUGCGAUCGUCUAUGUAGACCAUUUGCUGACACAGAAAAACUACAUAAAGGAAGAAACUAUUGAGCGGAUGAGGCUGGAUGAAGAGGUCCUCAUGGACUUUUUCAGGGAGUAUAUAAGCAUUUCUAAAGUAGAAAGCAGAGUAAGGAUACUGAGUGAUCUAAGGGAACUUGCUUCUGCGGAGAGUCUGGAUACUUUCACACUCAUUUACACCAAUAUCCUUGAGCACCAACCGGACUGCCCGCCCGAGGUGGUCGAGAAGCUCGUUGGACUUCGGGAAGGCAUACCAAGAAAAGACGCUAAAGAGGUUGUACAAGAAUGCAAAGAAAUAUACGAGAAUUCGCUGGUUGGAGGGAAUCCGCCAAGAACAGGGUUUGUAUUUCCAAGGGUCAAGAGCUUAGCACAAUCCAAAGGAUACCGAUGGAGGAAGUGAGGUUAAUUAAGUAUCGUCUCUCCCCAUCUCUCUCUCUCUCUCUCUCUCUCUCUCUCUCUCUCUCUCUCUCUCUCUCUCUCUCUCUUCUCUCCCACCAAUACAAAAAGCAUUUCAUAAGUCACAGAGUAGGUCUCUUUCUCUCUCUCUUUCCCUCUCUCUGCUUCUGUAAGCUUCUCUCUCUCUUCUCUCUCUUCUCUCUCUUCUCUCCCACCAAUACAAAAGCACUUCACAAGUCACAGAGUAGGUCUCUCUCAGUCUCUCUCUCUCUCUCUUUCUCUUCUCUCCCACCAAUACAAAAAGCACUUCACAAGUCACAGAGAACGUCUGUCUCAGUCACUCUGUUUGCUUAAGUUUCCACCAAAAGUGAGUAUCGUAGCACAUCCAAGGAACUUCACUUCUACUUAUAAGUUCCUUUCAUUCCUUCUACAAUCUCCAUUUCUCACCCAAUUCCCUGCAACCAAGUACUCCCUUUCUA